rnacentral:rRNA from 1 species
ACGUAGGGAGCAAGCGUUGUUCGGAUUUACUGGGCGUAAAGGGCGCGUAGGCGGCGUGUCAAGUCAAUUGUGAAAUCUCCGGGCUUAACUCGGAACGGCCAAUUGAUACUGUCAUGCUAGAGUGCAGAAAGGGCAAUCGGAAUUCUUGGUGUAGCGGUGAAAUGCGUAGAUAUCAAGAGGAACACCUGCGGCGAAGGCGGGUUGCUGGGCUGACACUGACGCUGAUGCGCGAAAGCUAGGGGAGCGAACGGGA